rnacentral:rRNA from 1 species
GACGAACGCUGGCGGCGUGCUUAACACAUGCAAGUCGAACGGAAAGGCCCUGCUUUUGUGGGGUGCUCGAGUGGCGAACGGGUGAGUAACACGUGAGUAACCUGCCCUUGACUUUGGGAUAACUUCAGGAAACUGGGGCUAAUACCGGAUAGGAGCUCCUGCUGCAUGGUGGGGGUUGGAAAGUUUCGGCGGUUGGGGAUGGACUCGCGGCUUAUCAGCUUGUUGGUGGGGUAGUGGCUUACCAAGGCUUUGACGGGUAGCCGGCCUGAGAGGGUGACCGGCCACAUUGGAACUGAGAUACGGCCCAGACUUCUACGGGAGGCAGCAGUGGGGAAUAUUGCACAAUGGGCGGAAGCCUGAUGCAGCAACGCCGCGUGCGGGAUGACGGCCUUCGGGUUGUAAACCGCUUUCGCCUGUGACGAAGCGUGAGUGACGGUAAUGGGUAAAGAAGCACCGGCUAACUACGUG